rnacentral:rRNA from 1 species
AUUGAACGCUGGCGGCAUGCUUUACACAUGCAAGUCGAACGGUAACAGGCCUUCGGGCGCUGACGAGUGGCGAACGGGUGAGUAAUGCAUCGGAACGUGCCCAGUCGUGGGGGAUAACGCAGCGAAAGCUGUGCUAAUACCGCAUACGAUCUGUGGAUGAAAGCGGGGGACCUUCGGGCCUCGCGCGAUUGGAGCGGCCGAUGUCAGAUUAGGUAGUUGGUGGGGUAAAGGCUCACCAAGCCAACGAUCUGUAGCUGGUCUGAGAGGACGACCAGCCACACGGGGACUGAGACACGGCCCAGACUCCUACGGGAGGCAGCAGUGGGGAAUUUUGGACAAUGGGCGCAAGCCUGAUCCAGCAAUGCCGCGUGCAGGAAGAAGGCCUUCGGGUUGUAAACUGCUUUUGUACGGAACGAAACGGUCCUGGUUAAUACCUGGGGCUAGUGACGGUACCGUAAGAAUAAGCACCGGCUAACUACGUGCCAGCCGCCGCAGUAAAAC